GACGAACGCUGGCGGUGUGCUUAACACAUGCAAGUCGAACGGUAAGGCCCAUUUGGGGGUACACGAGUGGCGAACGGGUGAGUAACACGUGAGUAACCUGUCCUCAUCUCUGGGAUAUCAGCCGGAAACGGUUGCUAAUACUGGAUAUGAGCUUGCCAGGCACCUUGUGGGUUGGAAAGAUUUUUUUGGGUGGGGAUGGGCUCGCGGCCUAUCAGCUUGUUGGUGAGGUAGAGGCCCACCAAAGCCUAGACGGGUAGCCGGCCUGGGAGGGCUACCGGCCACAUUGGGACUGAGAUACGGGCCAAACUCCUACGGGGAGCAGCAAGUGGGGAUAUUUCACCAUGGGGGGAAGUCUGAUGCAGCAGCGCCCGCGGCGGGGUGACGGGCUUUGGGUUGGAAACCGCUUUCAACUGGGACGAAGCUUUUUGUGACGGUAGCAGGAGAAGAAGCACCGGCUAACUACGUG
rnacentral:rRNA from 1 species